CUAAGGAGGGCAGAGUUGUAACGCUCAACAAUUUGAGUUUUGAUUUACUAGUUGUUGUUGUGUGGAGGAAUUUGGAUUAAGUUUAAACGCUAAGAAAUAAAUUUGGUUAGUUGGGGAUAUGAUUUGUAUUUUUUAAAAAUAAAAUAGUUAUUUUAUUCUUUUAUCUUUAUUUUUCUCUUUCCCUCAAAUUUGUGGGUUAGUUUUUUACUUUUAUUUUUUUUCCCUUCCUCUAUUUUCACGUCUGUUCUUCAUUCUCUACUCUUUGGUUCUCUUUGAUUUUUCUUGCUUGCAAUCAUUGCCUCUUGCAUUUUGUCAAUACUGGUUGGAUUCCUUUGUUUCGGUUAUGUAGGCUUAAAUCGUUAGAGGAGAGGAUCAAGAUCAAGAGGGAAGAGGCGUUUCUUCAGUGAUUUAAGGGCGUGUGUUGCUGUUGCGUGCUUGAGUUUUGGAAGUCUCGUCAGGGUUUUCGCAUCGAAAUUGAAUCAGGUGUAAUGAGAAACCUGAAAAACAACGAACAAACAUUAAAUUUGGUAUAAUUUCCGAUAUCUGUAGCCCUCAGACUUAGGCGGGUCGAUAUGACAGGAGCUCGGUUAUAACCAUAUUUUCAUAAAUUUAAUUUGUUUAAAUUUGGGUUUGAGAGUUUUAUAAAUUUUGAACUAUCUGGACAUUUUUGGUGGUUUCGGGUUUUGGACUUUAAUUUUGUUUUUCGCAAAAUACCGCUCAAAUGUUUUAUCGACAAAGUUCAUUUUUCUACAAGACAAUAUGUUUCUAAUCAACAAGUUGUGCUUUCAAAAAUACUUCUUUCUAAGGCUUUCCACUGCAAAAUAACUGAUUUUUAGAAAACGUAAUAGAACAUGGUUUCAACUAAACAACUAAUUAAGAAUAAUUUCUUCUAAAUCGGAGAUUUCUUUAGUAAUAGAAAUUAAGUUGUUUUUAACAUUUUGGAAAGCUAAAUUUUUAAAUCAUUUUACGUAAUCACUCUAAAUUCGGCCAUAACAUCUAGGCCGGAUUUGGGGUGAUACAUUUAGCCUGUAUCGAUUCUCGUAUCAAUCAAUACCAGUCCAAUCAGAUUCAAAUAA